rnacentral:rRNA from 1 species
AUACGGAGGGUGCAAGCGUUACUCGGAAUCACUGGGCGUAAAGCGCGCGCAGGCGGGCUGAUAAGUUGGAUGUGAAAGCCUACGGCUCAACCGUAGAAUUGCAUCCAAAACUGUCAGUCUAGAGUCUGGGAGGGGAAGAUGGAAUUAGUUGUGUAGGGGUAAAAUCCGUAGAGAUAACUAGGAAUACCAAAAGCGAAGGCGAUCUUCUGGAACAGUACUGACGCUGAGGCGCGAAAGCGUGGGGAGCAAACAGGAUUAGAAACCCUAGUAGUCC